CGUACGAUACGAGUUUGAAUCCUGGCUCAGGAUGAACGCUGGCGGCGUGCCUAACACAUGCAAGUCGAGCGGUAUAUACUGGAACGAAACUUCGGUCUAGAGAAGGUAUAGAGAGCGGCGGACGGGUGAGUAACGCGUAGGCAACCUGCCCCAUACAGAGGGAUAGCCUCGGGAAACCGGGAUUAAAACCUCAUAGCACGAGAGUUUCACAUGUUACUUUCGUCAAAGAUUUAUCGGUAUGGGAUGGGCCUGCGUCUGAUUAGCUAGUUGGUGAGGUAACGGCUCACCAAGGCAACGAUCAGUAGCCGACCUGAGAGGGUAAUCGGCCACAUUGGAACUGAGACACGGUCCAAACUCCUACGGGAGGCAGCAGUGGGGAAUAUUGCACAAUGGGCGAAAGCCUGAUGCAGCAACGCCGCGUGAGCGAUGAAGGCCUUUGGGUCGUAAAGCUCUGUCCUUGGGGAGAAAAAAAUGACGGUACCCUUGGAGGAAGCCCCGGCUAACUACGUG
rnacentral:rRNA from 1 species